GCUGUGAUGAAUCUAACAGCCUUGAUCUGCCAAAAUGAUAAGGGCUUAUGUCUCCUCUAAGAAGUUCUGAGCAG